rnacentral:rRNA from 1 species
AGCGAACGCUGGCGGCAGGCUUAACACAUGCAAGUCGAACGAUCCUUCGGGAUAGUGGCGGACGGGUGAGUAACACGUGGGAACGUGCCUUUAGGUUCGGAACAACACAGGGAAACUUGUGCUAAUACCGGAUGUGCCCUUCGGGGGAAAGAUUUAUCGCCUUUAGAGCGGCCCGCGUCUGAUUAGCUAGUUGGUGAGGUAAAGGCUCACCAAGGCUACGAUCAGUAGCUGGUCUGAGAGGAUGGCCAGCCACAUUGGGACUGAGACACGGCCCAAACUCCUACGGGAGGCAGCAGUGGGGAAUCUUGCGCAAUGGGCGAAAGCCUGACGCAGCCAUGCCGCGUGGAUGAUGAAGGUCUUAGGAUUGUAAAAUCCUUUCAGCGGGGACGAUAAUGACGGUACCCGCAGAAGAAGCCCCGGCUAACUUCGUGCCAGCAGCCGCCGUAAGAC